rnacentral:rRNA from 1 species
AGAGUUUGAUCCUGGCUCAGAGCGAACGCUGGCGGCAGGCUUAACACAUGCAAGUCGAACGCACCGCAAGGUGAGUGGCAGACGGGUGAGUAACACGUGGGAACGUACCCUUCGGUUCGGAAUAACUCAGGGAAACUUGAGCUAAUACCGGAUACGUCCGAUAGGAGAAAGAUUUAUCGCCGAAGGAUCGGCCCGCGUCUGAUUAGCUUGUUGGUGAGGUAACGGCUCACCAAGGCGACGAUCAGUAGCUGGUCUGAGAGGAUGAUCAGCCACACUGGGACUGAGACACGGCCCAGACUCCUACGGGAGGCAGCAGUGGGGAAUAUUGGACAAUGGGCGAAAGCCUGAUCCAGCCAUGCCGCGUGAGUGAUGAAGGCCUUAGGGUUGUAAAGCUCUUUCGGCGGGGACGAUAAUGACGGUACCCGCAGAAGAAGCCCCGGCUAACUUCGUGCCAGCAGCCGCGGUAAUUC